rnacentral:hammerhead_ribozyme from 1 species
AUCCAGAUGACGAGUCCUAAACAGGACGAAACUCGCGUUCAAGAU